rnacentral:tRNA from 1 species
CGGCGGCCCGGUGUGGCCGGCGCUCGCGGUCUGCGUCGGCGAGGCGCUGAUCGCGUUGGUGCUGGGCGCGAUCGCGCUGCGCUUCGUCGA